AGUCGAAGCUAGCUUGCUAGCUUGGCAAACGGGAGAGUAGCACAUUGGUAACCUGCCCCGAAGAUGGGAAUAACCUUGCGAAAGCGAGAAUAAUACCCAAUAGUAAUAAGAGACUUAAGUUUCUUAUUUAAAACUCCGGUGCUUCGGGAGGGGCCUAUGGUCUAUCAGCUUGUUGGUAGGGUAACAGCCUACCAAGGCUAUGACGGAUAGCGGGUGUGAGAGCAUGACCCGUCUCACUGGGACUGAGACACUGCCCAGACUCCUACGGGAGGCUGCAGUCAAGAAUCUUCCUCAAUGGCCGAAAGGCUGAAGGAGCGACGCCGCGUGCAGGAAGACGCUUUUCGGAGUGUAAACUGCUUUUAUCAGGGACGAAAAUUAUUGACGGUACCUGAUGAAUAAGGGGCUGCUAACCUCGUGCCAGCAGCAGCGGUAAUACGAGGGCCCCAAGCGUUAUCCGGAUUUAUUGGGCGUAAAGGGUCCGUAGGUUGUCUAUUGCAUCUCCUGUUAAAUCUUCAGGCUCAACUUGGAGGCUGCGGGAGAGAUGAAUAGACUAGAGGUCGGAAGAGGCAAACGGAAUUGCUGGUGUAGGGGUUAAAUCCGUUAAUAUCAGUAAGAACGCCAAAUGCGUAGGCAGUUUGCUAGAACGAACCUGACACUCAAGGACGAAAGCGUGGGGAGCGAAGAGGAUUAGAUACCCUCGUAGUCCACGCUGUAAACGCUGGAUGCUAAGCAUUGGAAGUAUCGACCCUUUCAGUGCUGUUAAUUUAAAGGUAACCCGUUAAGCAUCCCGCCUGGGGAGUACGAGCGCAAGCUUAAAACUCAAGGAAUAGACGGGGACCCGCACAAGCGGUGGAGCAUGUGGUUUAAUUCGAUGAUAGCGAGAACCUCACCAGUUUGACAUCUAGCUGCACGCCCUGAAACAGGAAGCUUCGAGGUGCUAGACAGAUGCUGCAU
rnacentral:rRNA from 1 species